UAGCUCAUUCGGUAGAGCAUGAGAUUCUUAAUCUCAGGGUUGUGGGUUCAAGCACGUUGGGCAAAA